AGCGAACGCUGGCGGCAGGCUUAACACAUGCAAGUCGAGCGGGCAUCUUCGGGUGUCAGCGGCGGACGGGUGAGUAACGCGUGGGAACGUGCCUUCUGGUUCGGAAUAUCUCAGGGAAACUUGAGCUAAUACCGGAUACGCCCUUUUGGGGAAAGGUUUACUGCCGGAAGAUCGGCCCGCGUCUGAUUAGCUAGUUGGUGGGGUAACGGCCUACCAAGGCGACGAUCAGUAGCUGGUCUGAGAGGAUGAUCAGCCACACUGGGACUGAGACACGGCCCAGACUCCUACGGGAGGCAGCAGUGGGGAAUAUUGGACAAUGGGGGCAACCCUGAUCCAGCCAUGCCGCGUGAGUGAUGAAGGCCUAGGGUUGUAAAGCUCUUUUAUCCGGGACGAUAAUGACGGUACCGGAGGAAUAAGCCCCGGCUAACUUCGUGCCAGCAGCCGCCGUAA
rnacentral:rRNA from 1 species